rnacentral:lncRNA from 1 species
CUAGCUGAUAGCAGAAAUCCUGAGUCUGUACAGCCUCAUCUUGUGAAAUGCUUUGAAAAUAUAAAACAAUUAUUGAUAUGGAAACAAGACAUUGGCCCUCCUGCUGUAAAAAUGCUAAUAUCUGCUGAAGGGGAAGGUCUCGUGCUGCCAAAGAAAAUUCGUGUAAGAAGUGCUGUAGAACAGUGGCUGGUAAAUGUAGAAAAAAGCAUGUUCGAUGUGCUAAAAAAAUUUUUAAGUCAAGGGAUUGAAGACUGGAACUGCCAGAUGUUUUCCCAAUGGGUGUUAUCUCAUCCAGGACAAGUGGUACUUACUGUGAGCCAGAUCAUGUUUUAUAAUGAUUGUGUUAAAAGUUUUGUGAGUUCUUAUUCAAGAGAAAAAUUGGAAAAAGUCCACGCUGGUCUGAUAUGUCAUCUAGAAGAGGUUGCAGACCUGGUAGUGCUGGAUACUAGUAACUCUCGAACAAAAGCUAUACUAGGGGCAUUGCUUAUCCUUUAUGUUCACUGCAGAGAUAUAGUGAUAAAUUUACUACUUAAAAAUAUCUUCAAUGCAGAGGAUUUUGAGU